GAAAAACGGCAGCAUAAGAAGAAGGACUUAUAAUGACUGGUCAUGGGCUGAACAUUAUCAGUUAAGCAGGCAGCAAGAGGAGAUGUUUGGCAGUUUGGAUCCUUUGAGAUGCUAUUUUGUGGAAUGAUUGCAUUAGUUGAGGAAUCUCCUGCAAAGCGGAACUGCUUGACCGGCCAUCUAUAUUGAAUUUUGGGAAUGUGUGACAUCAGUGUUUGUUUUGCUGUGGGUUGUGGUGGAGAACAGUAUGAUUCAUCAUAUGAGAUACUGAACAAUGCUGUUUUCCAUGUGUCUCUGCCCUGGUGUGUGAAUGCUUGUGACAGGUUUACAUUACUGCAUGACCUAAGGCUUGACAGAGAUGUUGUCUUUUGUUCACAUUGUAUGAUUCGGUUAACUAUACUUUGCAUUAUAACCACAAGCAUGAUGAAUACCUUUCAAAAUUGAGGUUAAUUGUCAUUUUUAUACAGUGGGGGAAAUAUUUAUUUGAUCCCCUGCUGAUUUUGCAAGUUUGCCCACUUACAAAGAAAUGAAGGGUCUUUAAUUUUUAUGGUAGGUUAAGGUUGAUUUUAACGUAUAGAGACAGAAUACCAACCAAAAAUCC
ensembl:lncRNA